GGGAGAUGCAUUUACAUAUCUGCUUUACUUGCUGCAGCCCGUUCAAGUUCUUUUAUCUGAAUAAAGGAUCACAUGAUAGUCCGGGUUCAGACUUCAUCGCAUAAUCUCAAUCAACUUUUGGCCAGAUGGUGUUGUGUAUCGAGUAACAACAGCUAGAACGAUAGAGUAGGAGGGGGAUCAACUUUCGUUGGUGAUCUCCACACAAAUGUAACAUCAAGUUAAUUUUAUUCACUAUGCUGGGAGUGUUUUGAAGCACAAGCUGGAGCAGACAGUUGGUGUUAAUUUCCACAAUGUUUAAUUUUAUCUCACUUGGUUUUAAUGCACCUUUAUCUUGACACCAUUGUCUUAUUAGAGAGCAUAAGUCAUUUGCCCUGAUAUCUGUCAUUAACUAAAUGCCAAUCUUCUUCCUGUCAACAUAUGUACUCUCCCAUCACUUUGGUCAUCCAUAUCUCUUUCCUGCCCUCACCCUAGAUCUCUCCCGAUGUACUACUACCACAAACAAUUCACUGACUAUAUUCACUUCAUGGGAAUGCCACUGCCUACGAGUGGGAGUCCAAUUAUAUUGCCUCAGCUCACAGUCUGAUUUUUAUUUGUGUGUUUGUGUGCAUUUGGAAGUGGAUGAAAAUGCUUAAGUUUUGAUUCUGAAUCUCGUAGUUGUUGUACCACAUUUUUUAUUCUGAAUCUCAGCAAAUUCUCCCUGAUUUUUAGAUUUCCACCCUGUUUUGUUACGCUCUACAAUAUGGGUUCAUCUGUAUUCUGUGAUUGAAUAGGGUCAACAGAUCGGUCUGGUGCUAAAUGCUUGAUAUGGAACUAAAUAAACACCUUGUGGGUAAAGUCACAGUUAAUAGUUCAGAUGCCAGGUACUAGCUUUCAAACACCCAACGAAUUAUUUUCUUCUUUGACACAAAGGUAGUUUUGGGAAACUUGGUUUUUGUAACACUUCAAUCAUUUAUGAUGACUGCUAUGUGAAUACAUCUUUAUCUUUAUGACUGGAGCUUCGAAAAAGGCAAUGAACAUUGUUCCUGAUCCAUCUCACUACCUAUGCAUUUUUUGUUCGUUUUUUGCAGUUAUCUUAUAAACUUUCUUAUUUGUGAACAACCAUAACAAUUUAGCUUAUUCUAGCCGUUGUCCAAGGCUAUUGGUAUUGGUCGCCUUCGUCCGCGUCGUGAAGUGCGCGACCCUCGCGAACGUUCAUCUCGCGGCCGCUCUUGCCUUUACCAACGAAUCGGUUUGACUGCAGUGCACGAUUACUAAAUUGGUGCAUUCGGAAUACCACCAAUAUAUAAUUUCUUGCAAUGCCAUCUAACAGUGCUACUGCUGAUCUCCCACAGAAGAUUUCUCCACCAAAAAUGAUUCACUCUUCUAUGCCCCUUACUGUAAAGUACCAUCAGAGCAUCGUAUCUCAAUGUUCCUUAUUUCUUUCAUACCUGAACGCACAGAAUUACUGUAAAAUGCUCAAACACUCUUGAACUAUUUGCUAUGGAGGAAUCUAUAAGUGUUUUACAAAUCCCUGCUUCCUGUUUGCAGCCCAGAACUGAGGAGCAGCAGGGACGAGCGCAUCCUCGACGCUGCAGCGAUUGACGCCGUGAAGGCGUACAGCAGGGAUGAGCGCAUCCUCGACGCUACAGCGAUUGACGCCAUGAAGGCGUACAUUGGGUCCGAGGAAUAUUGAAGAUCUCAGGAGCUUGCACGUAUGUCAGAUUUGAGAUGGAAAGAAGCCCUCAGAGUACAUUAAUUCAUCACUGAUUUCGGGAUUUUGAAUGUCACAUGUUAUUGUGAAAUUUAGAUGUCACACAUUAUCAUGGACUCAGCUGCGGUCGAGCCCAAGCGCACCCGUGCGGACCGGGAGCUCUGUCUAGGUGGUGAUGCAUGUGUCGCCCUGUCUUGUACCCAGGGGAGUGUCCAUGGGUGUGUGUUGGAGGAUGCAUUGCCCCCUUCGGCGAACCGUGAAUUAACACCACCACAACACCGCCAGGCUGCUCCCGGCCAUUCGACAAGCUAGGGCGAUAUUACAGGUUAUGAAAUUUGGUCCUCCAGUGAUUUUAUGCUUCACGGUUGUUUCUAUGGCUUUGAUUGUGGAUAAAUUUAUAUGAUGUACUGCUUUGCAAUGCAGAAGCUUUGGUUGUCCAGUGAUUGGUCUAUCGUCUAAUUGAAGCGCAUGGUGGCAUAUUUGGGUUGGUAUUUCGGCAUCUUCCUCUUAAACUGAAUUGGUCAAUUAUUCUACUGCUGCAAGAAUUGAUAAUGUGGGCUGCGGAUAUGAUUAGUCAGAUUUUAGCUCCAUAAUAAUGAACUAAACGGUACAUAGUGUGUUGGUCCCAGUGUACUUAUUGGAAAUGUCUGAUCAAGUUGUUACUUGGAAUGCUACGAUUUUAUUGCAGGCUUGGUUUACCAUUAUUAGGAGUUCUGCUUCAUCACCUAUAAUAUCAGAAUUCCUCGGUUCCAUGUUUCAAGGUGUCAACAAGCAGAGGUAUUAACUGCGCUGGCAGAUGAUAAUGCUUUAAUGGAAGUAAAAGCGUCCAUUAGUGCAGCUCGGUUCAUUGGAUCCACAUUGACACAAUGAUGCGAGAACGCGUUUCUUUCUUGGAAUGGAAAAUCUACAUGUACUUCGCAAACGUAGGUGUGUAUUCCAGCAAGAGAUAGAUCAACAGAGAAAAUUUAGAUUAGAAUGGGUUGAUUAGAUUUCUAUUGUUAAUCUUAUAGCAUUUGAUGCUUGCUCUUGGAAUUUUCUGAAGAACAAUAUGCAGUGGCAGGAGCAUUCAGAAAAACCAGCUAUAUCCAGGGCCAUCAUAGAAUCUUCGGGCUACAAGCAAGGGAUGCUAUGUAAGCUGGAAGGUGGCCUAAAUGUGCUAUAUUUUCUAACAGUAUGGAGAGUUGUGGCAAGUGGAGUAGACAAGCUGAUAUUCACUAGAAUUUCCCUGGAACCCAAUGUUUAGUAAUGGUGGGGCGGAAAGGAUUCAUGCUAAUUGGACUGUUCCCUUUAUUGUUUUUCAAGCAUGGUGUUUGAGGUCUGAAGUUUUCUUUCCAAGAUUGUACGAGUGGUUGAAAUUGCUAAAGGUUAAUGAGAAGAAACUACUAGAGAUAGAAUGACCAAUGAUAAAAUUCAGCUGAUGGAGGAUGGAGUACUGACAGUUGCUGAGGCUGAAAAGAUAAUUUAAAAAAAAGGGUGUAUGAUAUACAAAUAUCAGGCUUCAAAGUUGGAAACGAAUUGUCAAAUUGGAAUGAAAUAUACAUUGUUUUACAUCAUACAAA